rnacentral:rRNA from 1 species
AGAGAGAGACAUGCGCGCAUAUCAAUAAGCGGAGGAAAAGAAACUAACAAGGAUUCCCCUAGUAACGGCGAGUGAAGCGGGAAGAGCUCAAAUUUGAAAUCUUAAAGGGUUUCCCUUUACGAAUUGUAGUUUAAAGAAGUGUUUUCUGUUGAGGUUUUGGUAAAAGUUCUUUGGAAUAGGACAUCAUAGAGGGUGAGAAUCCCGUAUUUGACCUUUACUUUCAACUUUGUGAUACACUUUCAAAGAGUCGGAUUGUUUGGGAAUGCAGUCCAAAAUGGGUGGUAAAUUUCAUCUAAAGCUAAAUAUUGGCGAGAGACCGAUAGCGAACAAGUACCGUGAGGGAAAGAUGAAAAGAACUUUGAAAAGAGAGUUAACCAGUACGUGAAGUUGUCAAAAGGGAAGCGUUUGACACCAGUGUUGUUUUUCUGAAAAUCAAUUAAAGAACUGUUUAUGCUAAGCUGUUUAGACUUUAUCAGCUAUCUGUUUAGUUUUGAGCUUUUCUUUAAUGCACUUUUCAGUUAACAAGUCAACAUCAAUUUCUUUUGCUGUAAAAAAGCUUGAGGAAGGUGGCUUGAGAUUCGUCUUAAGUGUUUAUAGCCUCUUGCCUAUGCAGUCGGAGAGAUUGAGGUCUGCAGCGUAGAUCCUUCGGGGCUAAAUGCAUUUGUGCUAAGUUAUAGCAUUUUAUAGACAACUUGUUGACUAUGAUUUGUCUUGUAGCUUACUCGCUUAUGUUAUUUUACCUACGCUUAGGAUGUUGACGCAUGAGAUAUACGC